rnacentral:rRNA from 1 species
AAAUUGAAGAGUUUGAUCAUGGCUCAGAUUGAACGCUGGCGGCAGGCCUAACACAUGCAAGUCGAACGGUAACAGGAAGCAGCUUGCUGCUUCGCUGACGAGUGGCGGACGGGUGAGUAAUGUCUGGGAAACUGCCUGAUGGAGGGGGAUAACUACUGGAAACGGUAGCUAAUACCGCAUAACGUCGCAAGACCAAAGAGGGGGACCUUCGGGCCUCUUGCCAUCGGAUGUGCCCAGAUGGGAUUAGCUAGUAGGUGGGGUAACGGCUCACCUAGGCGACGAUCCCUAGCUGGUCUGAGAGGAUGACCAGCCACACUGGAACUGAGACACGGUCCAGACUCCUACGGGAGGCAGCAGUGGGGAAUAUUGCACAAUGGGCGCAAGCCUGAUGCAGCCAUGCCGCGUGUAUGAAGAAGG